UACGUAGGGACCAAGCGUUGUUCGGAUUUACUGGGCGUAAAGAGCGUGUAGGCGGCCACUUAAGUCCUGCGUGAAAUCUUGCGGCUCAACCGCAAGCGGUCGUGGGAAACUGGGUGGCUAGAGUGCGGGAGAGGAGAGUGGAAUUCCUGGUGUAGCGGUGGAAUGCGCAGAUAUCAGGAAGAACACCCGUAGCGAAGGCGGCACGCUGGGCCGGAACUGACGCUGAGGAGCGAAAGCGUGGGGAGCAAACAGG
rnacentral:rRNA from 1 species